rnacentral:misc_RNA from 1 species
UGUUUGUUCAAGAAUGAUGCCUGGAUUCAUCCCCUCUGGACCAGAUUUAUUAGAGGUCAAAUGCAACCGCUGAGAAUGAUAAAAACUUUUAUAAAUUGAUGGCCUGUCCAUUAAUGCAGAAAGCCCAUCUUUGUCUCGACAAGGAAGGAGCUUCAACCAUGGAGUUAGGUUCUCAGUGCAAACAGCUUCACGGGGCAGCAUACCGUACCUUAUAUUGCCUGUAGCUGGCCGGAAGCUCCACUGAGGAGCUGAAUACAUUGUAGAGGACUCAAGGAAGUUAA